rnacentral:lncRNA from 1 species
GAUGUGGGGAAAUCUGAAUCCUCAUUUAUCGUUGGUGAGAAUGCAAAUGAUGCAGUCACUUUGGAAAACAGCUUGGCAGUUCCUCAAAAAGUUAACCAUGGAGUUGCCAUAUGGCCCAGCAAUGCCAGUGCUAGGUAUACACCCAAGAGCACUGAAAACAUGUCUACACAAAAACUUGUACACUCAUGUUCACAGAACAUGAUUAAUAGUAGCUAAAAUGUGGAAACAACCCAAAUGUCCAUCAGCUGAUGAACAGAGUGUGUUAUAGCCAUACGAUGGAAUAUUAUUUGGCCAUAAAAAGGAAAAAAGAUAGAUGAACCUUGAAAGUAUUAUACUGAAUGAAAGAAUCCACAUAAUGUAUGAUUCCAUUUAUAUAAACUGUCCAGAAGAGGCAAGUCUGUAGAGACAGAAAGUAGAUUAAUGGUUUCCAGGGGCCUCAGAAAGGGGGAAUGGGGUAAUUGCAAAUAAGCAUAGGGCUUCUUUUUCGGGUAAUGAAAAUAUUCUGGAACUAGUGUCAAUGGUUGCACAACUUUGUGAAUGUACUAAGAACACUGAAUUGCACACGUUGAAAGGAUGCAUUUUUGAUAUGUGAAUUACAUCUCAAUAAAGCUGUUAUUUUAUAAAAGAAAGAAAGGAAAAGUAAAAGCAAGCUAUACAGAAAAAGAUAGCUAAACAGCUAUCUAUGAUGCUUUAGGCCACCAUCGUCCCUGGCUGCUUCAAUGCUGUCAGGUAUUUACAUUGAUU